rnacentral:rRNA from 1 species
AACGAACGCUGGCGGCAGGCUUAACACAUGCAAGUCGAACGCCCCGCAAGGGGAGUGGCAGACGGGUGAGUAACGCGUGGGAACGUACCCUUUACUACGGAAUAACUCAGGGAAACUUGUGCUAAUACCGUAUGUGCCCUUCGGGGGAAAGGUUUAUCGGUAAAGGAUCGGCCCGCGUUGGAUUAGCUAGUUGGUGGGGUAAAGGCCUACCAAGGCGACGAUCCAUAGCUGGUCUGAGAGGAUGAUCAGCCACAUUGGGACUGAGACGCGGCCCAAACUCCUACGGGAGGCAGCAGUGGGGAAUAUUGGACAAUGGGCGCAAGCCUGAUCCAGCCAUGCCGCGUGAGUGAUGAAGGCCCUAGGGUUGUAAAGCUCUUUCACCGGUGAAGAUAAUGACGGUAACCGGAGAAGAAGCCCCGGCUAACUUCGUACCAGCCGCCGCCGUAAGAC